GGUGCCCUUUUAUACCCAAAGUUGCUCAUUUGCUUACGUCAUUUGCAUUUUCUGCCUGCCAAUUUCAAGUUCAUUGUUGUUUUAUCAUUCAUGCUUCAGACACCGGUCACGCUGGAGGCGUUCCCCUAGUGCCCUCUAGAGGAUGCAGCAUCUCGUUUCCUGUUCUCAGGGAACCAUGGUUACAUGCGUAACCUGAGACAUUUUUGUUUUUUAAACUUUUACAUUAAUAGCAAAUUUUUAUUCUCUGCAGGGUUGAAGACUUCAGCCUGGGAAGACGAUGCCAGCUCAUGUCCAUUUCAGGAAAAAAAAAUAGUAUUCAUGCUGAACGUCACAUGCAGAAACCAGAAAACAGUGAGAUACAAGUCAACUGUGUUCCAGGAUAGAGCUGACAUAUAUCGAAAAGGGGGAAAAAAGAAAGAAAUGGGAUCUUCAGCCUCAAAACCAGCACCAUCACCACCAAAUCCAGGUGAGAGUAUAUAUACACACACACACACACACACACACACACAUAUAUAUAUAUAUAUAUAUAUAUAUAUAUAUAGUUUUUGUUCUUUAAUAUGUAUUAAAUAUGUGGUAUGCAAUGCUGAACAUCACAAUGUUAUAUAUAUAUUUACAUAUAUACACACACACACACACAGUGGUGUGAAAAAGUGUUGGCCCCCUUCCUGUUUUUUUUUUGUUUUUUUGUAUGUUUGUCACACUUGAAUGUUUCAGAUCAUCAAACAACUUUAAAUAUUAGUAAAAGCUAAAGACAAAAGACAAAAUCCAAAACUACAUGGUCCUGUGUGAAGAAGUGUUUGCCCCCCUAAACCUAAUAACUGGUUGGGCCACACUUAGCAGCAACAACUGUAAUCAAGCAUUUGCGAUAACUUGCAAUGAGUCUGUUACAGCGCUGUGGGGAAUUUUGGCCACUCAUCUAUGCAGCUAUGCAGAAUUGUUGUAAUUCAGCCACACUGUAGGGUUUUCGACCAUGAACUGCCUUUUUAAGGUCAUGCCACAGCAUCUCAAUAGGAUUCAGGUCAGGACUUUGACUAGGCCACUCCAAAGUCUUCAUUUUGUUUUUCUUCAGCCAUUCAGAGGUGGACUUGCUGGUGUGUUUUGGAUCAUUUUCCCAAGUUCGCUUCAGCUUGAGGUCACAAACAGAUGGCCGGACAUUCUCCUUCAGGAUUUUUUUGGUAAACAGCAGAAUUCAUGGUUCCAUUUUUUUCACAGCAAGUCUACCAGGUCCUGAAGCAGCAAAACAUCCCCAGACCAUCACACUACCACCACCAUAUUUUACUGUUGGUAUGAUGUUCUUUUUCUGAAAUGCGGUGUUACUUUUAUGCCAGACGUAAUGGGACACACACCUUCCAAAAAGUUCAACUUUUAUCUCGUCAGUCCACAGAGUAUUUUCCCAAAAGUCUUGGGGAUCAUCAGAUGUUUUCUGGCAAAACUGAGACAAGCCUUUGCACACUACCACCACCAUAUUUUACUGUUGGUAUGAUGUCUUUUUCUGAAAUGCGGUGUUACUUUUAUGCCAGACGUAAUGGGACACACACCUUCCAAAAGUUCAACUUUUAUCUCGUCAGUCCACAGAGUAUUUUCCCAAAAGUCUUGGGGAUCAUCAAGAUGUUUUCUGGCAAAACUGAGACAAGCCUUUGUGUUCUUUUUACUCAGCAGCGGUUUUUGUCUUGGAACUCUGCCAUGCAGACCAUUUUUGCCUAUUCUCUUUCUUAUGGUGGAGUCAUGAACACUGACCUUAACUGAGGCAAGUGAGGCCUGCAGUUCUUUGGAUGUUGUUGUGGGGUCUUUUGUGACCUCUUAGAUGAGUCGUCGCUGUGCUCUUGCGGCAAUUUUGGUCGGCCGGCCACUCCUGGGAAGGUUCUCCACUGUUCCAUGUUUUUGCCAUUUGUGAAUAAUGGCUCUCACCGUGGUUCGCUGGAGUCCCACAGCUUUAGAAAUGGCUGUAUAACUUUUUCCAGACUGAUAAAUCUCAGUUACUUUCUUUCUCAUUUCUUUCUGAAUUUCUUUGGAUCUCUGCAUGAUGUCUAGCUUUUGAGGAUCUUUUGGUAUACUUAACUUCUUCUUCUUCUUCUUCUUCUUCUUCUUCUUUUACGGCAGAUCGCAGACUUUCAGUGCAUUACCGCCACCUAUCCCUCCAUUGACACUCUAACUCGAUUAACCUAUCAUCUCUAUAAAUCACUAAAACCCGGUAUAUUCGUUAAGAUUCUUCAUAGAGCUUCAUCUGACGCUGCGUCUCCAGCUCCUCCGUCCACCCUCAGUCCUCUUAAUGAGAGUAUACUUAACUUUGUCAGGCAGGUCCUAUUUAAGAGAUUUCUUGAUUGCGAACAGGUGUGGCAGUAAUCAGGCCUGGGUGUGUCUAGAGAAAUUGAACUCUGGUGUGAUAAACCACAGUUUUAACAGGGGGGCAAACACUUCUUCACACAGGGUCAUGUAGUUUUGGAUUUUGUUUUCCCUUAAUAAUAAAAACCUUAAUUUAAAAAUUGCAUGUUGUGUUUACUUGUGUUAUCUUUUAAAUUACCUUUAUGUUAUUAUCUUUUAAAUAACAUUGUGUUAUAUUUUAAAUUACCAAGAAAGUGGCAAGAUGAAAACCAUUAUUUUCUGUUUCAAACUUUCACAUAGCAUCUUUAGGUUAUAAUAAUAUUAAAAAUUCAAAUCCAGGUUUUGAUUUUCAAAGAUUUAUUAUAAAAUUGUAUUAUUUCUCUCAAAAUGCAAUAAAUCCAUUGAAUCAAUAUGAAAGUUAUUUUUCAUAUUAAAACUGAUGAAAAUACACAACAUGGUAAGUUGAUUCACUUAUGACAGCCUCUGAACUUGGUCAAUACUAAUCUUGUAUACAGGCACUGGACUAAAAAUACAUGCAUCAGUCAUCACUUCCAAAAUAAGUUAAACGGGUCAUCUUAUUGAUGCUAUAAAUUAAUUACAGCAAUAAAAUACAAUUUCAUCAUAGAACAAGAACAUAGAACAACAUCACAUUAGACCACAGAAAUUCCAAAAUGACAUUUCCCUU
rnacentral:lncRNA from 1 species